AUGCCACUUUCCAGCCGUCUGUGGUUGUUCGUGGUCAUCACGUACUCUGGAUCCAUUUUGGCCCAGAAUGUUAUUCAAGAUCAGUCAGAUAUAUCCAUGCAAGAGGGGAGAAAUGCCAUUCUGAACUGUCGAUGUGAAACAAGUCAGUCAGUGUACUAUAUUUUGUGGUACAAGCUACUUUCCAGUGGUGAGAUAGUAUUCCUUAUUCGCCAGAGUUCUUCUACACAGGACUCACAGAGUGGUCGCUAUGCUACAGUUUUCCAGAAAGAAGGGAAAUCUAUCAGCCUCAUCAUUUCAACCUUACAACUAGAUGAUUCAGGAAAGUACUUCUGUGCUCUCUGGGAACUCACGGUGUGUGAAGUAAUAGUGAAGGCUGAACAAAAACCCCAGAGCUCACUAACAGAGAUCUCCCUGUUACAGAGCCCAGGCUCACAACCUGCAGUUCCCAGACUAGAAAUAUUAGUGACUAUGGUUGCUUAA